rnacentral:rRNA from 1 species
GACCUUGCGCUAAUAGAUGAGCCUAAGUCGGAUUAGCUAGUUGGUGGGGUAAAGGCCUACCAAGGCGACGAUCUGUAGCGGGUCUGAGAGGAUGAUCCGCCACACUGGGACUGAGACACGGCCCAGACUCCUACGGGAGGCAGCAGUGGGGAAUAUUGGACAAUGGGGGGAACCCUGAUCCAGCCAUGCCGCGUGUGUGAAGAAGGCCUUUUGGUUGUAAAGCACUUUAAGCGAGGAGGAGGCGCUCUAGGCUAAUACCCUAGAUGCGUGGACGUUACUCGCAGAAUAAGCACCGGCUAACUCUGUGCCAGCAGCCGCGGUAAUACAGAGGGUGCGAGCGUUAAUCGGAUUUACUGGGCGUAAAGCGCGCGUAGGUGGCUAAUUAAGUCAAAUGUGAAAUCCCCGAGCUUAACUUGGGAAUUGCAUUCGAUACUGGUUAGCUAGAGUAUGGGAGAGGAUGGUAGAAUUCCAGGUGUAGCGGUGAAAUGCGUAGAGAUCUGGAGGAAUACCGAUGGCGAAGGCAGCCAUCUGGCCUAAUACUGACACUGAGGUGCGAAAGCAUGGGGAGCAAACAGGAUUAGAUACCCUGGUAGUCCAUGCCGUAAACGAUGUCUACUAGCCGUUGGGGCCUUUGAGGCUUUAGUGGCGCAGCUAACGCGAUAAGUAGACCGCCUGGGGAGUACGGUCGCAAGACUAAAACUCAAAUGAAUUGACGGGGGCCCGCACAAGCGGUGGAGCAUGUGGUUUAAUUCGAUGCAACGCGAAGAACCUUACCUGGCCUUGACAUA